rnacentral:rRNA from 1 species
AACCCUUGUCCACUAGUUGCCAUCAUUUGGUUGGGCGACUCUAGUGAGACUGGCCGGUGGACAAACCGGAGGGAAGGUGGGGAUGACGUCAAGUCCUCACUGGCCCUUAUGGGUAGGGCUUCACACGUCAUACAAUGGUCGGUACAGAGGGUUGCCAAGCCGCGAGGUGGAGCCAAUCCCUUAAAGACCGAUCGUAGUCCGGAUCGUAGUCUGCAACUCGACUACGUGAAGUCGGAAUCGCUAGUAAUCGCAGAUCAGCAUGCUGCGGUGAAUACGUUCCCGGGUCUU